rnacentral:rRNA from 1 species
UACGUAGGUGGCAAGCGUUGUCCGGAUUUACUGGGCGUAAAGGGCGUGCAGGCGGUCUUGUUAAGUCUAGGGUGAAAGCUCCCGGCUCAACUGGGAGAGUCCUUGGAUACUGGGCGGACUUGGAGGGAGGUAGGAGGAGAGUGGAAUUCCCGGUGUAGCAGUGAAAUGCGUAGAUAUCGAGAGGAACACCAGUGGCGAAGGCGAGUCCCUGGACAACACCUGACACUGAGGCACGAAAGCUAGGGGAGCAAACAGG